ACGCUCGACACCUACGGGAGCAGCAGUGGGGAAUAUUGCACAAUGGGGGAAACCCUGAUGCAGCGACGCCGCGUGAGUGAAGAAGUAUUUCGGUAUGUAAAGCUCUAUCAGCAGGGAAGAAGAUGACGGUACCUGAGUAAGAAGCCCCGGCUAACUACGUGCCAGCAGCCGCGGUAAUCUGAGCGGGCUGGCAAGGC
rnacentral:rRNA from 1 species